AUCGGGGUGGGAGACAGUGUCAGGUGGGCAGUUUGACUGGGGCGGUCGCCUCCUAAAGAGUAACGGAGGCGCCCAAAGGUUCCCUCAGAAUGGUUGGAAAUCAUUCGCAGAGUGUAAAGGCACAAGGGAGCUUGACUGCGAGACCUACAAGUCGAGCAGGGACGAAAGUCGGGCUUAGUGAUCCGGUGGUUCCGCAUGGAAGGGCCAUCGCUCAACGGAUAAAAGCUACCCCGGGGAUAACAGGCUUAUCUCCCCCAAGAGUCCACAUCGACGGGGAGGUUUGGCACCUCGAUGUCGGCUCAUCGCAUCCUGGGGCUGUAGUCGGUCCCAAGGGUUGGGCUGUUCGCCCAUUAAAGCGGUACGCGAGCUGGGUUCAGAACGUCGUGAGACAGUUCGGUCCCUAUCCGUCGUGGGCGCAGGAAAUUUGAGAGGAGCUGUCCUUAGUACGAGAGGACCGGGAUGGACGCACCGCUGGUGUACCAGUUGUCUUGCCAAAGGCAUCGCUGGGUAGCUAUGUGCGGACGGGAUAAGUGCUGAAAGCAUCUAAGCAUGAAGCCCCCCUCAAGAUGAGAUUUCCCAUAGCGUCAAGCUAGUAAGA
rnacentral:ncRNA from 2 species